CCAUGUUUGCGCGAGAAGCCGAACUGAAUGCAUUCAUAACGCCUUGGAUUAGCACGCCGCAACAGAAGAUUCAUCUCCACACCGCAAGACUCCAUUCAAUCAGAGCCAUUCCAGGAAUCUGCCGGGACGGAGACGCAUCUCUGCAGGCCUGGCUCUAUCCGGAUCGAGCAGAGACACGGCGUUCUCUAAACAUGCUCUUCCGAAGCUCCGAACGUCAUGAACACAGAUGCACGUGAAGGCCUGUUCCAAAGGUUAUCAAGUCUCUGCUUUAAAACAAUGGAACACUUUCCUUCUGACCAAAACAAUGUCUUCCUGUCAGUCUACAUCCCUGUAAGCAUCCUCAUUCACACACAACACUCUCUCUCAAACAAACUAGUCCUUGUCGUACGCAAUUACUGCACCUCAUGUUUACCGCAAAACCAAUUCUGAAGAGAAUCUCUCUAACAGAGCUGCCGUUGUUGAGUUCUUGUGCUUCAUAGAGAGAGUGUGUGUGUGUGUGAGUGUGUGUGCAUGGGGCACUCCUUUCUCUUCAAUUCAGCUGAUAAUAACACUCUCUCGGCUUCCUCAAGUGCUCAGUCAUGACCUCUGACCCUCCGUCGAGACUCACAUACGCUCUACUGCGGUUCCUCUGGAUCUUAAUUCGAUUUCAAGUCUAAUUGAGUGCUGAAGUGUGAAUGCCUGCAAGCAGGUUGAUGGCGAGUAAACACACAGUCCUACUUAUUAAGUGUGCGAUAAGAAAAACAUCAAAGAAAGAAGACGCUUAAAAUGAGGCUGUUGAUUGAAUCAAAUGAAUCAGAUUCAAUUACGCUAUGCAUCAUUUUUGAAAUACUGUUAACAUUUAUUCAGUUGUGGAGUUAGCGUUAAUUUGUACUUUUUCAGUUUUUAACUAAUACAUUUUAUUAAAGCUUAAGAAAUGUUGUGCUGUGCUUUGGUCAUUUUCUAAAUCUCCUGUGUUUUUUAUAUUUCUAUUUUAGUUUUUAGUUAAGGCUUUAUUAUUAUCAUUAUUAGGUUUUAUUUACUUCAAAGUAAAUUCAUUUCAAGUCUUUUUAAUUCGAUCAAAAACAACUAUAUAUAAAUAGCGUUCUAUUACACGGCUGUACUUCAACUUACUAUUUUAAUGGUUUUAUUCAGCAGUAAGAAAUCUAGGAUGCAAUAUUAAAAUUCUUAAACGUUAAAAAAUAAAAAUAAUGCAUUGAAAUAAAAUUAAUAAAAUUCUCAAAACAUUCACUUUAAAUACUACAAGUAAACUAAACAUCCCAACAUUAUAAAAAUGGAUAUCCCUUUUUUUAUUCGCUCACUUUUAAUUUAUUUAUACAUUUCUUUAUUUCCACAGAAACUGAGACCGGUGGAAUUCACCACGGGUUGAUUUCCUUGAGCUAAACGGAGUAUGCUAAAAACUGUCAGUGUUACUAAGCUGUUUCUGUAAGUGUAUUUAUUUUCAGUGUUGAAGCGUGUCUGCUGCUGGCCUCAUCUCGGAGAGGAACUGCUCCACAGCAGCAUCAUUCAGAGAUCUGAUAGAGGAACUGGUUCUCUAACCUCUGCAGCACAAAGCCUGUCGAGAUUUAUCUGCUCCGCGCUCGGUCCAGUUUUCAGGGCUUUUCUUAUUUUCAUUUACAAAGAUAAUGUGCCCAGUGAGUCCC